GUUAAAUUGUAUUGCUCAGGGAGGGUUGGUUAAAUUGUUUUGUUCAGGAAGGGUUUGUUAAAUUGUAUUGCUCAGGGAGGGUUGGUUAAAUUGUAUUGCUCAGGGAGGUUUUGUUAAAUUGUUUUGUUCAGGGAGGGUUUGUUAAAUUGUUUUGUUCAGGAAGGGUUUGUUAAAUUGUAUUGCUCAGGAAGGGUUGGUUAAAUUGUAUUGCUCAGGGAGGAUUUGAUAAAUUGUUUUGCUUAGAGAGGGUUUGUUAAAUUGUAUUGCUCAGGAAGGGUUGGUUAAAUUGUUUUGUUCAGGAAGGGUUUGUUAAAUUGUAUUGCGCAGGGAGGGUUGGUUAAAUUGUAUUGCUCAGGGAGGUUUUGUUAAAUUGUUUUGUUCAGGGAGGAUUUGUUUAAUUGUUUUGUUCAGGAAGGGUUUGUUAAAUUGUAUUGCUCAGGGAGGGUUGGUUAAAUUGUAUUGAUCAGGGAGGAUUUGUUAAAUUGUUUUGCUCAGGGAGGAUAAGCUGAUGAAUGAUUGGUUGCCUUACUGUAUGUUUACAUUUUUUAUACAUAAUUUGAUAUGCAUAAUUUUUAUUUAUCUGAUUAUUUUAUUGUGUUUUUUUCUAUGUGUUUUGAUGAUUGAAAGGGUUUGUUUAAUUUGAUUGCUCAGGAAGGGUUUGUUGAAUUCAAUUGUUCAGGAAGUGUUU
rnacentral:lncRNA from 1 species